AACGACGCUCUUUUCACCACCUUAUUCCAUCUGCGCCACCGUCCUGCAGUCUCUGAUCUAACUGCAAAUGUCAAGCCUACCAUCGCUCUCUCUCAGGCUUCAAACCCUUUCAGUAUUAAAGCCAGAGACUCUCACUUCCAUUCUAGGCCCUCUCAGUCAGAGCCUCGAUAGGUUCUCUCUUGCCAGAUUCGCGGUUCAAGAUUACACUGAUUCGUAUGAGAGUAACAAAUGGUAGCAGCAACAGGCUUGAUGGGUUAUCAGUAUCUGAGUUUCUGAUGUCCCCGGAGAUUUUUACAGCUGUGAAUAAUGGAGGAAUUCAGAAACUCUUUCCUAUUCAUGUACGCUCUUCUUUCUGAAAAUGGGGUCAAUCAAAGUUAUUUGUUUUUUUUAAACUAUGUAUUGAUGUUGGUUGUUUGUAUGGAAAGUUGUGCUUGAGCCAGGAUGCAAGGUGUGCUACGAAAUGAACUAGAAAUAUUCUUGCUUUUGGAGUUCCCAUCAUUGACACAAUCAUAAAAUUCAACUCUAAACACAUGUUUGUUAAUCCUAUGAUUGUACUUGUGUAUUUGAGGACUCAAAGAUUUUAGUAGGGAAUUUGAUGACGCCUUUUAGAGAUGAUGGUUUAUGAAAGCUUCGUUGAGUGUUCUACCAAUAAUAAUGCAAGUAUUUUUCAUUUAUCUCAGUCUUUCUCUAUGUAUGCGAAACUAUAAUAAGUCUACAAGGCACAGUAAGACACAUGAUUCACUCUCCUCUGUGCCAAACUAUAUCCAGAUGUUCUAGAACUAUUCAGUUCCAUGAAACUUUGAAGAAGUCUACAAGGCACAGUUGAUCUGCUGUAGAGAAGCCUUUGACUACUUCUUUGUAGCUCCACUCCUUUCCAGUAACAAGUAGUGUUUCGUCUGUGCAAACGGGUUCACGUUGAUUGUAUGAUUGGAUAUAUGUAAACAUGAGAUGAAGACUGCCUCAUCCACCUUUCACAGGCAUGUAUUGGUAAUAGGAAGAAGGGUGAAACUGCUCUCAUGUAUGUGGCCGUUAAUGGGAAGAAGCUUGUGAUUAGAACUCUUUCUCAGGAGGAGAAGAUUCCUCAGAUCAGCUUCGAUCUGGUCUUUGAGAAGGAGUUUGAACUCUCCCACUCCUUGGUGAGAGAAAGGGUCUACUUCAUUGACUACAAAACGCCCGACCUCGAUGAAUAGGUGGACUCCUCUUCUUCUGAGGAUUACUCUUCUUCUGACUCAGAAGAAGAGGAGGAAGUGGAGGUCCCUUCAACUGCACUGCCAAUGUAAGUGCUGGAGCUGCUGCUUCGAGUGUUGUCAAGGCUGACUCAAAGCCUGAAGAAGUGAAUCGUGAAUCAGACGAGGAUGAUGAAGGCUCUGAUGAAUUAGUGAGUCUUUGCAUUUCGUAACGAUCAACGUUGAAUGCUGCCUCUGUAAUGUAUAAGGCUAUCAUUCAAUCAGCCUAAUUAAGAAUCUGAAAAUGCUUCUAGGAUUUAAUAUCUCUUUGAGAGACGGCUAAGCUUUUUAAGAUUUUAGUAUAAGAAAGAACAAAUAAGCAAAGUUUUUUUUUGUUAUUGUGAUUUCAGCCAUGGCUGGGUCAAAGUGUACCGGUUUAUGUUUGUUGUAAUUUGAACAUUUGUUCAGCAUAGGAAGUUUACCAUA